rnacentral:tRNA from 1 species
GCGCCCGUAGCUCAGCUGGAUAGAGCGCCGGACUUCGAAUCCGUAGGCCCCCCGUUCGAAUCGGGGCGGGCGCG